rnacentral:rRNA from 1 species
CCUACGGGAGGCUGCAGUGGGGGAUAUUGCACAAUGGGGGAAACCCUGAUGCAGCGACGCCGCGUGAGUGAAGAAGUAAUUCGUUAUGUAACGCUCUAUCAGCAGGGAAGAAAAUGACGGUACCUGAGUAAGAAGCCCCGGCUAACUACGUGCCAGCAGCCGCGGUAAUACGUAGGGGGCAAGCGUUAUCCGGAUUUACUGGGUGUAAAGGGAGCGUAGACGGCAGUGCAAGUCUGGAGUGAAAGGUGGGGGCUCAACCCCCGGACUGCUCUGGAAACUGUACGGCUUGAGUGCAGGAGAGGUAAGUGGAAUUCCUAGUGUAGCGGUGAAAUGCGUAGAUAUUAGGAGGAACACCAGUGGCGAAGGCGGCUUACUGGACUGUAACUGACGUUGAGGCUCGAAAGCGUGGGGAGCAAACAGGAUUAGAUACCCGUGUAGUC